CUUUAUUUUGACCUGCUGUGGUGUGAUGGGUGGGAGGAGGUCAGAAAGGAUGUCAUACGGGGUACUACUUCUUCAGUGAGUCCAUUUUGAUCGCAGAUCUGAAGAAGUUUCUUCAAAAUGGCAAAUAAGGUGAUUUAUGCAGAGCUAUCACCUGAGGAAAGAGUGCAUUAUACUUCACAAACUGCAAAUGCAGGUGAACAGAUAACCUACGCUGAGGUGAAAAGGAGGCGGAGAUCUGACACACCAGAAAGUGCACCAAAGACUACACAUCAAAGCAAGAUGACAAGGAACCCUGUAAGAAUAGCUACUACAGUCUAACCCUCUGCGUAUGGAGCUCUGCCUGAACAUGCACCACAAGCAGCAUGAGUUCUGUAAUACUUUAGAUAUUUCUGGAUCUAAGAAAAUACAUUCUGAAAUAAAAACCUG
ensembl:lncRNA